UACGUAGGGUGCAAGCGUUGUCCGGAAUUAUUGGGCGUAAAGAGCUCGUAGGCGGCUUGUCGCGUCGACCGUGAAAACUUGGGGCUCAACCCCAAGCCUGCGGUCGAUACGGGCAGACUAGAGUUCGGCAGGGGAGACUGGAAUUCCUGGUGUAGCGGUGAAAUGCGCAGAUAUCAGGAGGAACGCCGGUGGCGAAGGCGGGUCUCUGGGCCGAUACUGACGCUGAGGAGCGAAAGCGUGGGGAGCGAACAGG
rnacentral:rRNA from 1 species